GGACGCCACCGGCUACGGCGAGGAGGCAGAUCUGACGAGGGGGAGGGUUUAAAAUAAAGAACGUAUAUUUUACUGCCCACAUGAGCAUCUGGAGCUUUACCUACAAUGUCCAGAAAUCGAAUGCAUUCUCUCCCCGCCAGGAAAGAAAGGAAUUUAUCUGUUCACUCAAGUUUGUGCCACCCUAUGAUGGUCAUAGACUCAAGAAGAGGAUCACAUGAUCUGUUAUCAUCAGUAUUCCUGUUGUAAAAGGC